rnacentral:snRNA from 1 species
GAAUGUAAGAGUGAUAUGUCUGUGGUAUCUGUUACUCCAUUGAUCAUCAGGGUUUGUUCUGCUUUUCUGACUGGUUAGGUGAUGGUCCCUUUCCUCUUCCCUCUGUCCCAUGUGCAUCUCUCCGAAAGCUAAGAGUUCAGCCAAAGGGGACAAAGACCCUGGAUAGAAAGAACCAUUUUUCAGGCCAAUAGUAUAUGAAUUGCUGCACUUCCCUUCUAGAACUUCCAGACCAGCUAUCAGAAAUGUAUUCAGCAUAAAACAUGAAAGAAUUGAGGGCCAACCAAAUAGUUCAGAGGUUUAAAGCACCUGAAAGCAGGCUCAUGGAC